UCAUCAUUGUUCCUUUGAAUGAGGUUUUUCUCGAUUUCAGCCAACUUCUUUCCAAACUUCUUGUAGGCCUGUUUUGGUUGUGAAUCAGAAGUCCAGAGAUCACCUUCAAUUCUCUCUCCAAGGUAUUGUUCAUCAGAAGCAUGCCUUGACAAGACCUCUAAGAUGGUCAAGUUAGUAAGGGUAUCAUUCUUUGCGGUGAUUGUCCUCAAAUAAGUCUUCUGGUAGUCCUUAGCAAGCUCAUCAUACUCAACGGAUCCUUUCUCAGGCAUGAAUCUUCUACUUUUUGUUGGUCGGUUAAGGAUAUAUCCUCCAUACGCAUAUUGUCCAAAAUUAACAGCUGCAUGAAGUGCUGAAGCAAUCCAUAUGAGAAUGGUGCAAGCUUCUUUCAACUCCGUACGGUUUUGCAUCUUAAACCACCAUGUUGCAUUCCUAAAGUCACCAUGACCCACCUCUACAAGUUCUUUCCAAAAUGCUUGGAGUUCAGAAUCUUUCACAACAUCUGCAUCAGACUUGUAGUAGAAAUUCACAUAUUCAUCAACCCAUGACUUAAUAGCAGCCCAUAUCUCUAGUCCAUCAGAAGCAUAAGGAUAGUCCUCUAUCAGAAGUCGAACACCAUGUGGAGAAGCUGGAUCCUGAACUGCCACUCCUCUAAUUAACAUGCAAGGAAGAUAAAAUUAUUACUUAAAGUGAUACUAAUGAUCAUUUUACAACUGUUUUAGAGGAGAUACAAGUCUGUUUAAUAGAAAUAUAAAAGUUAGUUAGAGUUUGUUAUUAGGGCGUUACUUCGUUGAUUUGUAGUUAUUACCACUGAGAAUCUUAGAUGGCACCUCAUGAACAUUAAAAAAAUAUGUUUUAGAUCAAUAUCUUUUUAAAAAAAUGGACCGACCCAAGAUGUACGGUUUUGUAAGGUUACCUUUUGAUUAGAUCAUUAGGAAGUCCUUGCUCGGUGAAAUUCCAAUCCUUGUAAACAACAGCAGACAUUUCAACAGCAUAAUCUCCCCACAAGAAAGUUAAUUCCAUAACACCCCCUGCAUUGACCAAGAUAGUUCGUGCGAGGGAAUUUAUGUUCAUUGUGUCACGGUAGUGUGGAAGUAAAAGUUUAUGAAUAGGGUGAACCACACUAAGAUGCCUAUUUGUUGCUAUGAUGAAUGGCUCAACAACGGCAUGAGUGUUCAACCUGUCACACAUUGAGAUACAUAUAUAUGAAAUUACGCUUAGAUAGAUCAAAUUUAGAAUUUGAUUGUAUAUAUAAUACUGAUUAAUGAAAUUCAUACCAAUGGCUGACAAGUUGGUGGUAGCAUGAGUCAUUUACAACGACAUAAGCCUUGGCAAGGAGCCAAAUUGAAGCUUCAACACCUUCACUUGCAGGCAAGUAAACAUUACUAACAGGACCUAAACUAUCACCUUGAGGGUGUGGCCUACUUAGUUCAAUGGCCAAUGGCUUCAAAGUUCCAUCAUUUUGCAAGAAAAGAAUGGUUCUAGUUGCAUAGGACUUUGUCUCAGUUGCAUUUAUUCUCCUCAAAUAUGGAAUUAGUAGAUCGUGGUGAUCAAGUAUGUACAAUUUAUUGUUUUGGAUAGCCUGUAUGACAAAAUAAAAUUUAGCUAAGUCUAUGAGAUGUCAACCUAAUGGUAAAAGUCGACUUUAUUAACCUCAAGAGGCGUAUUUCAAAUUUUCUCGUGGACGAAAUUCAUUAAUAUCACUUUGCUGAAAACAAAAAUAGAACUAAUCCUUUGAGUAAUAUUGUAUUGUGACAUUACCUGUUCUACUGUGACCCCUCCCAUGUUUGGCUCCAAGUGAUCAAUGGUUAUUGUGCUGGUAUUAUCACCAUAUAGUUUGCUAUCUAACUUGCUCUUUGGUGGAAACUCCUAUAUUAGGUUAAUUACCACUUAUAAAUAUAGCAUGAAAAGUGAACAUGAAAGUCUUUGUUUAAUAUUGUGUACUUGCUUAAAAAUAUUAAACUCUUGAGUUUACCAGAAGUUUUUUGAUGAUAUGAGGAUUCACCCCAGCAAUCAUCUGCCUUGCGAAUUCCUCAUCAGUCAUCCAUGCAGAGUCAUCCACUACACAUUAAAAGAUAAAUGACUUUUAUUUAUAUGUGUUUGCUUGUGCGGUAGAAUAAUGUGUACGCGCGUUAAUGAGAAGCUACAAAUUGUAGCUUUUGUUUUUCCACAGCAAAACUUCCCUCGAAACGUGAAAAAAUAAAGCUUGGCCAUCAUUCCAAACAUAUACUUAAUUUAUUGUUAGGGCUAAGAAUUGUAACUAAUAUAUACCUUGAACCACUUUCGGUGGUGGAAACUUAAGUACAGCUUCACCAUCAGUUCGAAAAAGUUCUUUGAACAAUGGUAUUGGGCUAAUCUGGCUUAGUACAUCAGUAGGAAGCUUAAUUCCACCAUCGUAGAGAGAGCGUAUAUCUUCAAAGGUGUUAAACUCAGGGUUAUUGAGUUGUAAUGUAGCUUUAGAUCUCAAAUUAGGUAUGACUCUGUGAGUUGCUGAUUUGAGUACAUAACCAAGAAAGUCAGAUGACUUCAAGUGACCAAAUGAUUCAUCUCUUGGAACGUAAAUAGCGUCACUUCGACUCUCACUCUUAGGAUCUGUUCACAUGUAAGAGUAAAAUGUUUUAGCCACAAUACCAACAUCUUUAUAAUUAAUUUAAUUGUGAUUAGUCUUGGUAGUUUUGGCUUAGUUUGAUGAGAUUACUUGAAAUGCAAGUAAUCUAGCUUUAUGCUUUCUAACUUGAAAGUUAGCUAUAAACAAGUUGUCCUUGUAUCAUUAGAAAUAAAAUGAAAUCCAUAUUUCACAUUACAGUUUCACACUGCAGUACCCAUAUCAUUGGAUUUGUACCAAAUUACCUUAAAUAUUACUGCAAAAGAACUAUAAACAGUCACAGCUGUUUGGAGCCUAACCUUUUUUAGAUGGUUUUCUGCCGGUUCUUCCCCUUCGAGGGUAAGGCAAGUUUCCAGGUCCUCCAGCAACAGGACGAGCCAAGCUAGCUUUCUGGUCGGGAUCACCCAAGUCAUUGUAGACAUCAUAAUCAUAUAUUCUGUCCCAUUCCUUGCGCUCUCCCGUUCCAUCUCCUCUUAAAGUCUUCAAUUCUUCUUGUCUGUAGUACACUAAUGGAGCUGGUGUUGCACUUGGAAGGUAUGUCUACAUAUAUAAUGUCAAGUUUUGGUGUUAACCGACUGGUUCUCAGAAAAAAGGGGUCCUGAUAAUUUGGAGUUCCGGGAGGUAAGUAAAGUUUGAAACAUUUCUAAAACUAAUUACUAAUAUUUGUCGUUACAAAAAAUAGCAAGCUAUAGAAUUUUUAUUCUUACCUUGUUGGCAAAGAAGAUGCGGUCCGUUUUGUACUUUUUAGAAUUGUGAAUCCAUGAGUUGCAAACAAAGUUGAUGGUUCCAUGGUUUGGAACAUCUUCAAGUGUCAAACUCACAAGGAAGAAUUCACCUUGCAUAUAGUUAUCAAUAUAAAAAGCUCCUGGAAUUCCCAUGGUACUGUCCCAUUGAAAAUGAAUACUGAAAGCAGAUUGCUUGUCCCCCAAUGUUGGGAGGGAGGUAAGAAGACCUUCCAGAAAUGUUUCCUUUCCCACUUUUCCUUUUCCAGUUCCUAUAAAAAUGUCAAAAAUUGGACUCUUAGUUUCACUAAUGAUGAUUCUUAAAUAAGUAACACCUUAAAAGGAAAAUAUAUAAUUUCAAUAUUUUAGUGGUUAUAGUAAGGGAUUAUUUAUGACAAAACAAAAGGGAAAAUAAGGUAAAUCUUAAUGAACUGAGAGGUCAGAAACUCCUCUAAAUUAUAUAAGAUAAAAUUUGCAGUAGAUAAAACAGUGAGUAUAAUUCAUUUCUUUUUACUCUUAAUUUAAGGUCACUUAUAUCAUAUCAUGAUCCUUAAAAUUUAUAUUAGAGAAGACAAAGUCAUGUAAGUAGUGGUCGGUACAAGAGAUCAUAGAGGUAGAAAAAGAAGCAAUUUUAAAUAGAAAAAGAUGAGUAGAAUUUCCAAUUUUAAAAAUCUCUUUAAGAGAGAAGUUCAAAUGUGAAGAAAUAAAGAUAAAAUUUUAAAAAACUUAUGGUACAAGAUGUAAUUCAAAAAAUUCAUGUGGGGAGCAUAUGCACCCCCUCACUCACAUUUUUUUUUUACAGGGUACAUAGAUCCAUUUAUAUACAUCAAACGCGUCAACGUCAAAAAAUAUUAAAUUAUAUGUAUUUUAUGUAUGUACUUCUUCAUUUUACAAACCAUAUAUACUUUAAUCUACAAUGGACAUCAAUUUUUUUUCUUUUAUGAGGGAGUGCUUCAAGAUAAUGAUCAGAUUUAAACGGGAGGUUGCGGAUUGAAUGAAGACGUUGAUCAUUUACUUGUUACGUUAGAUGUGUUUUUUUAAGCAAUAUUUGGUCUUUGGUUACAAAUUGAUUAGGUUUUAUUACAUUGCAUCAAGCUUAUAUAUUUUGGCUCAUUAUGAUAUGUUUAGGAGCUUAGGUGGUUUCUCUAACCAAACUCGUUUAGCUUUCAAGAUCAUUUUGCUAUAUUGUGUUUGGGUCAUAUAAGAGGAAAGAAAUAAGCGACGUUUCAAUAUGAGGAGGAUACUUUGCAAUCUUAUAUGUGAAAAAAAAAUUAGAUACAGUCAUAUUGGGGUUUGAAAGCAAAAUAUGUUGCUUUUGCUUUUGAUUACAAUUAUUGGUCGUUUAAUCCCCUUUGGUGUUUAACAUAUAUUUUCUAGUUACUUUCCUAGAUGGUUUUCUUUUCAAUGUUGAUUUUAUUUUUGUUGUAAUGUUGUAAACACUAUUAAAGUCUUCAUCUUGCACUCCUUGUGCGAGAUAGAUUUGUUUGGUUUCGGUAGUAUAUUUCAUUUUGCCUUCUUCAAAAAAAAAAAAUUAUGUAGUAAUUUUUUUUAUUCCAAUAGUGUUAUUUUAAUAUAAUUUUAUCAUUUUUUACCUAACCAAAUGACUAAAUUAUUUUAAAUAGUUACAUAAAUUAUUUCAUUUUUUUUUUUUAUUGAGAAGAGAGGGUGACAUUUCCGCAUCUGUCAAGUAAGGAUCUUAAUUUUUUUCUUGUUUUUUAUUGAUUUCCUUCAACGAAGGUGAUUCAUCCAAUUAUACUCUCUCGAUCGAGAUUCUAACUUUAUUCAACCCAUUUGCUAGAUCCAACUUCUGUCGGUGUACACAUUUUUAAAAUAAGUUUUAUUAUUUAAUCAUUUAUACACUAAAAAUAUGAAAAUUAAAAUGUCUCUUUCUUGUAAGAAAUAAAUAUUUUUGACUUAUAUAGUGAGAAAGAAAGAAGCUAUUACCAUCAGCAGUCGUAGCACUAAUCAACUUGAGAGCCACAGAACGGCCCAAGAAUGAAGUGGCAGUGUCAAUUAUAUUGCCAGCUACAUCACCAAUAAUACCUAUGGCACCACCAAUGAUACCUGUAGGGUUAUUAGUUGCAGUUAGGGCAUCAAUGUCCAACGCAUUCUUUUGCAUCAACACCACAGUUCCCUUCAACUUUUGGCCUCUAUCAAAGAGACCAGUUACCCCUGAAAACAUCUUUGAAUAUGCUUUAAAUAUAUUACACUAUAUUUGGUAAAUGAAAGAAAUGCCUGUGUCUUGUAACCAUGGGGGUGCUUAGUAUCUAUAGUAGUUGAAUGGGAUUGGAAUCUCAAGGUUAGUCUAAAAGAGAUGAUUUCUUUUAUUCACCACUAGUAAUUAACAACACGUUUAAAUGCAAUUGAGGGUCACGUGGUAAUUUCUUUUUCUUUCUUUAUAAAAAAUAAUGCAAUUGGGUUGGUCACAUGCUAAUUUUUUAUUUAGCAUGCUUAUCUUGAGGCAUGUAAAAUAAAGACAUAUCCGUUGGUUGUUGCAUUUUAUUUCGGUUGUUACAUGUGCCAGCCUAGGUUGUCACUUUUUAAAUUAAUUUCACUAUAUUGUUGCUAAUUUUGUAAUAGGAAAAAAAUUGUUUCGUAUUCGUAUUUUUGUUAAAUAAUGUUGUUUUCACAUGGGCAAAGCUCCUUGCAAAUUUUCACGUGCAUAUACUCGUAUGAAACUUCAUUUAAAUACACUAAUGAAUUGUUAAAUCAACUAAACUAAACUGUUUUCACAUGGGCAUGCUCCUCACAAAUUUUGGUUCAUAGCCACUUUCCAAUAGGUUGGUUCAAUAUUUCAUUCAAUAAAGCACAAGAUCUAAAUCAUUAAGAUAUCCAUGCAGAUGAGAAGAAGACGACCUAGUGGAAGUCGACGGAAAGAACACAUUAGGGUGGUGGCAUUGCGCCAAAACAACACAAUGGUCAAUUUGCUAACUUAGACCCAUUUUUAUUUUAUGAGAAAUAAUUUGAGGGGUAAUUUAGUUAUUUUUCAGAUAAAUUAGGAAAUGGUUGUUGGAUGUUUUUUUAUUGAAAAAUAAAAUAAAAUGAAAUUUACUAAACUAUCCCUUACUUUAAAUUGGUUUACACUAGGGGAUAUUGGUCUUUCGUCAAAAUUAAAAUGUACAUUUUUGUUAACUUCGACCUUCCUAAACUCAUUUAAAUAAUCAAAUAAUUAGAGAGGGCGUUACAAUUCCUCGUGUCGUCAUAGGAGUCAUGCUCAGUUACGUAACGGGAUGGGGAUGUUUAUGUGUUUUAUUUUUCCAUUGUUACGUAUCUUUCUAUAACUUGAUGUUGGACCACUUUUAGGUGAAUUUUAUUUAUGUUGUUGAUGUUGAGGCCUUAGUGCCAAGUAUUGUUAAAAACAUUGAAUAUUUUCCGCUGCGACUUUGUUUUAAUUAUUGGAAGAAGUUACUUUUAAUAGAGAGUUGAUUUUAACUCUAUUUACAUUUAAUGAUAUUUUGAAGAACGAAAUGUGACAUCCUGUUGUGAUGAACUCUGAUUUAUUUUAUAUUAUUUAUGUGUUGGGAAAACGGGGUGUUACACUCCGACCUAAAGCAAGCGCCAGCUACCAAACUUGUAACGCCCUCUUUGAAUUAUUUAAUUAUUUAAUUGAGUCUAUAAUUUAUUAAGAAGAGUUUAUAUUAUAUUUAUAUGAUAUGUGUGAUUUAUGAGGAGUUGUGACUUAUUUUAUUGUUUAAUAAGAUAAGAUUUGAAAAUAAAAUAAAUAUUGAGUUGAGGGGUUGUUUUGAGAUUUUAGAGAGUUUUGGGGGAGAAAGAGAAAUAAGAUAAAGUAGAUGGAGGAGAUAUAAAUAGGAAAGACCUAGUUUAGAAAAACGUACGUACGAUCAGUUUUUGGAGAAAAGGGAGAAAAAGCCAAGAGAAGAGUGAAGCACCAAGAAAGCUGCGAUUUUUGUUAUUAAGGUAAGGGUGAGACUAACAUUCAAUUUUAUUAACCUAUAUAAUUCUGAUGAUUGUAUUUAGCAAGUGUAGGAUUGAAUUAGAGAAGUUGGAAAAUUAGGGUUAAUGAGAGAAAUUGAGAAUUAAUGGAUGAAAAGUUGUUAGAUUGAUGUAGAAUUUGUUUACAGACCUUAGAUAAGUCAUAAGAUAAUUACAGGAAUCAAUGUUAGGCUUAAAACCAUGAGAAAUAGUGAAUUUUUGUGAAAACUACACUUCUGCCCGAGCCAACAUUCAUCACUCGCCUCCCGAGCUGUGAUCCUCGCCAUAGCGAGUGAUGAACUUCAUCGCUCACCUCGUGAGCAAGUAUUCCCCGCCUCGAGAGUUGCACCUUGCAGCUCGCCAUAUUGAGUAGAUUCACUCACCUAGCGAGUGUGACCAGAGAGGUAUCAUGAUUUCGUAAUUUUAACCUUUAAGGAGAAGGAGAAGAACAUGAAAGUAAAUAGGUGAAAAUAAAAGUGCAGAAUUUUAAAGGACAAGAAUUAAGGAACAAGAAAAAUAAAGACAUUGAUUGAAUAGAAAUAGUUGUCACAGAAAAUUCCUAAGAACCAAGGUGAAUAAUAUGUCUAGUGGCUGCUCUAUUUAUAGCCUAAAAGCUAACUUAAGCCCUAAGAAAAGGCAAAAACUUACAUAGCAAGCAUGUUGAUCUUUGUUGGUCUAAGUUAGCAAACUUCAUACAUAUAUAUAUAAAACUGCUAAUUUAUACUCACCUAAAAAUAUUAAGGAGUAAAUUAGCAACCUACACCCACCUUUUUUUGACCAAAACAUCACUUGUCACUAUUGUAAAAUGGUUUUAAGUUAAAGAUAAUUGUGUAAUUUUGUGUUUAAACAAAAGAUAUCAAUUGCAGUUUCCUCGUACACGUUUUUAAUUUCCCUCUACUUUAAGGAUUGUUGUAGGAACAUGGUGGGAGGAUUUUUCCUCGUACAAUUUCUUAAUUUCUAAAGACACUGCAGUUUUAUAUCAAUUUUUUUUGUCUUUCUUUGUAACCUUUUAUUAAUGUUUAUAAACACAAUUCUCUUGUCCCUGUAAAUUUAACUAAGUUGAUACGAACAUUGCAUAAUAUAUAUAAGAUUAGGAAUUCAAACUCCAGACACUAAAAAAAACACUACUUUAUUUUAGGGGGAAAACACUAGUUGGUGUUCCCAGUUUUAAUUCACGUAUAAAAGAAACACUUAAGUUGUAAGGUUUCUCUUUCAAAAAAACAAAAUAAAAAAGUUGUAAGGUUUCUGUUUUCAACUUAAACAUUCACAUAACCUAAAAUAAUAAGCUAACGGAAAUUAAGGGGAUGUAUUGGAUUAGGAUUCUAUGAGAUUUUAAAAGAUUUUUUAAUUAUGAAAAAGUCUUGUGGUAUUCAAUCAAGACUUUUUGCAACUUAAAAAAAGUCUUGUGGUAUUCAAUCAAGACUCUUUGUCAUUUUAAAAAAGUCUUGAGGUAUUCAAUCAAGACUUUUCAUCGCUUAAAAAAAGUCUUGUGGUAUUCAAAAUCAUUCAAAUUUUGAAGAAUUGUUUAAUAAAUUGGAUUUUGUGGGAUUUUGUAGUGUAAUUUUAACAAGAAAAAGUCUUUCAUGAAAAGAUGAGAUUUCUUGAGAUUGUUUUUCUUUUAAAAGUUACGAUCUCUUUCUUCUCCUUCCUCCCUCCCUCCCUCUCCCUAUUCUAUCCUUUCUCUCUUCGUUUCUCUAUCUCUCCACUCUCUCUCUCUCUCUCUCUCUCUCUCUCUCUCUCUCUCUCUCUCUCUCAUCCCCCUCUCUCUCUAUCUCAUAAAAAAAAUAAAAAAUUGUAUUGAUAAUAUUAUGAUAGAGAGUAUGUCGUAAUCAAUGAUCCGAGAUUACCGAGUUUAUGUUUUUAAGUACAAAAAUCGUGUUAACUCUGAGGUAAAAUCAGUUUCUGAUAAAAUUGGAAGGCUUAACGAGUUUGACUGAGUUAACACUCGAUAAACUCGUGUAACUCGACCGAUUUAUAAUGACUGACAUAAUAUUAUUUUUUUAAAGAUUUGUAAGUGCUAGCAUAAUUUUAAAUAUGUACAAUUGAAUUUUGUGGGAAUAACAUUUUUAACAAAUAAAAAAUGUGUACUGAGAAUAAUGUGUUAGAGUGUUUUUUAGUCCCUUAAAAUCUUAUAAAAUCUAUAAAAUUCUUAAAAUUUGAAAAUCAAUGGUAAAAGAAUUUUUUAUUGAUUUUAUUUUUCUUUAUUCAAACGCUAGAAUUUAUUUGUUCAUUAUUUUUAUCAUCCACGCUUGUAAGUUUGUUCUUUUUCCCCUAAAAUUCAUUGAAUCCUUUAAAAUUUUAAAAUCACAUAAAAUCCUUUGAAAUCCUUAAAAGUCAGAGUGAUAAAUCCUUUAAAAUCUUGAGUGAUAAAUCCUUUGAAAUUUUAAAAUCACAUAAAAUCCUUUGAAAUCCUUAAAAGUCAGAGUGAUAAAUCCUUUAAAAUCUUGAGUGUAUAAAGUUUUUUACAUAAAAAGUCUUUUAAAUUCUCACAGAAUCAAUACAAUCUCACACAGUCUUUUAAAAUCUUAAAGACUUUUCCCCUAAGGUUAUUUGUUUUUUAUUGUUUUAAAAAAUAAUAAAGUCAAAUUGGCAAAACUAUCUUUUAAUUUAGGAAUGAUGAAAUUGUGAGUAAAUAACUGCCGACCCCACCGCAAUGUAGAUCUGUGCUGGUGGUGCGUUGAGAGUUGUUCUCCACACCACCGUCGCACCCUUCUCCCGUCAGCGUUCUCUUGGACUUGCGCUGUCAUUGCCUCGCCGUCGUAGUUUCGAUGGGUAUCUUUCGGUCUUGUUUGUAGGGUACCGGUUCGAAGUGUCGUCGACGUUGAGAGCUGUUCUUCGAAGGAUUCAUGUCCGGAGGGCGGGGUUGUCGGUCCUCCUCCGCGCCAACUCCUCCCUUUGGUGUGGUUCUGCUCUCCUUUCAACCGGAAUCCUCCCUCUCUGAGGUCGUCACUGCCGUUGCGUACUUUUUGAAGCGUCGUCGGUGCUUUUGGUGGUGAUAGGUUGGGCUGGUUGGUUCGCUUCCUGGUGGUGGUUGACGGUUUCUCGUUGGCGGGUCGUUGGCUGAUUCCGGUGUUGCAGAUUUGUUUUUGUGAUUGCUGUUGUUUCACUACCAUUGAUUCAGAUCUGCUGUAACGAGGGUUCGUUUGUUUUCGUUGGCGUUUUGUGUUUGUUGUGGUGCUGUUUUGUGUUGUGUUUGUUUUUUUUUCCUCUUUGUUGUUGGUUAUUUUUGGUUAGUUGUGUUUGGGUGGUGGUGUUCUCUGGUCCUGUCCAUCUGUGCGUGUUCUUGUUGAAGCGAUGAAACACAUGAAUAAUAUAAAUAUUCAAGAAAUAUACGCCACGUCAUCAACAAAAUCCAAACAACAGACAUAUAAAAAUUCUCAACAGUUGCAGCGGAUAUAAACCACACACUUCAAAAGAAUACAUGCCAUGAAAUCAAGAUACAACAUCAUAAAAGUUCUCCAAAUCCCGACAAAUGGGCAAAUCUCCACAAUGUAAAUAAAUCCAAAAUAAACAAUCUAGAAUAAUCAUAAGACAGACAUCCUAGAUCAAAGCCGAGCCUAUCCUAAGACUCUAAAGAAACGAUAACGGAGAUAGCUCCCACUAUCCAAGCAACUCACCAAAGCAACUAAUCUUGCACUUCGUCUACCCAUCCAUACAGACAUGUAGGCGGUCAAAACCAUGGGAGGUAAGCUUUACAUCAAUCAUAAUCAAUAAAACAAAUUUGAACAUAUAUGAAUUAAAUCAAGUUCCAAGUACUUAACAUGAGCAUUCAAUUCAAUAUACACCUUCACAUAGCAAUUUCAAAUAUCACGAAUAAGUACUCACCAAGCACACUUAUCAUCAACAAUUACGACUCAUGUCAAAUAUGCUAUGCGCCUAAUUCCGACACAUACAUGCAUGUGGUACCAUUCAACAACAAGAAGCCAACCCCACAUCUUAUGUAAGAGUACACCUCCUCUUACAAACAACUAUGUAAAAGUAUACCUCGUUUUACAUUUCUCAUAUGACUCGAUAUGACUAUGAUGCAUGGACAUACAAACAAAGACUCAAUAAUGCAAACUACUCAACAUAUACAUACACCAACACAAUGUAAAAGUACACCUCCAGUUACAUUAAUCAACUUCAACAACAAUUGCAUUAUCAAGUAUUUACGCCCACACAAUCAACAUGUCAUUAUUCAAUUAAGAGUCAUCACCAAAAUAUCACAAUUCAUCAACAUGUAUUCAUUAAUCAGCUUCAACUAUAUCAUAUAGUUCAACAACUCCAUACAACUUCUCAUAAUACAAGUAAAGGAGGAAAAUACAACACCUUAUGAUAAACAUCAUAUUCAAGACCUCGCAAUUACUCACAUAUCUUCAUUCAAUCAUAUAAAGCUAUUCACAAAAGAUUAUAAGGUAAAUGGCUUUAAAGAAUCGUUUUCGACAAAGUCCGUAUCAAGUGGCGAAACGGCCAACAUUGAUAAUUUUCAAAACAAGGUAACUUAUUCAAGUUUGGAAACUUACAAAUCAAUUUUAAUCAAUCAUGUAGUCAUGAAUUUAAGCCACUUACGAACUAUCAAACAUUAGUUCAAAGAUUAGCUUAAGUUCGUAUGAGAAAACUCCAAGUUCACAUAAUCCGUAAUCCCACCCGAAAAGUUGAUCCAAAUUUCGGUUCAAAUGGGUUUCACAAAACGACAUCUAAACACAUCCAAUCCAAUAAUAGUUACGUUUGUGUGAUUUUCAAUUUUUUGUAUCAAUUUACGAUUUUAUAUUGGUUCAAUUUGAAUUUGACCCUUAAAAUGUAUGAUGCAACCAAACAAAAGACGUUAGGGGCUUAUGGGAAAAACCUUGCUUGUUUAUUAUUCAUUUUCUUAAAAUAUGAAGUUUGCAUUUAAAUUUGAUUUAGUAAGUCCAUCACACAGCAAACAUAGUAGUUUUUAUAGAAAUCAAUCAAACAUACAUAAUAACACAACAUGACCAUACAUAGGGAGGUGAGGGAAUUGGAUUCCUUCUCAUCGAUUAUUUAAAGCAACAACAAAACAACGACGAUGACAUUUUUUAGAUAGAGACACUGUUGGGAAUGCCUCUGGAAGUCAAUCCUUCCUCACUAGUAGGAUAAAGCAGUGUAUAUGACAUCUUCACAGGUCCAUUUCGAUUCCUCAGUGUCUCAUCAUUGUUCCUUUGAAUGAGGUUUUUCUCAAUUUCAGACAACUUCUUUCCAAACUUCUUGUAGGCCUGUUUUGGCUGUGAAUCAGAAGUCCAGAGAUCACCUUCAAUUCUCUCUCCAAGGUAUUGUUCAUCAGAAGCAUGCCUUGACAAGACCUCUAAGAUGGUCAAGUUAGUAAGGGUAUCAUUCUUUGCGGUGAUUGUCCUCAAAUAAGUCUUCUGGUAGUCCUUAGCAAGCUCAUCAU
rnacentral:lncRNA from 1 species